UACGGAGGGGGCUAGCGUUGUUCGGAAUUACUGGGCGUAAAGCGCACGUAGGCGGCGAUUUAAGUCAGAGGUGAAAGCCUGGAGCUCAACUCCAGAACUGCCUUUGAGACUGGAUUGCUUGAAUCACGGAGAGGUGGGUGGAAUUCCGAGUGUAGAGGUGAAAUUCGUAGAUAUUCGGAAGAACACCAGUGGCGAAGGCGGCCCACUGGACGUGUAUUGACGCUGAGGUGCGAAAGCGUGGGGAGCAAACAGG
rnacentral:rRNA from 2 species